rnacentral:lncRNA from 1 species
GGGCCGCGUCUGCACUGCGAUGGCGGCGUGGAAUUUAAAGACUAAAAGGAAUUCUUCCCACAAAAUUAAAAGCCGUGACGCCGAACGACGCCGUGCCGGGUGGAUCAGAGACCGCUCCGUGGGGCACACGCAGCCCCGGGGCUCCGCGUGGGGCAGAGCUGCUGCUGGGACAGCCGGCGCCGCCGCGGGGAUAACAGCACCAACGUGUAUCCCGCCGUCGCCGAGUUCCCCCC